ensembl:lncRNA
UUUUAUUGCUUUAGUUUUUUAUUUUCUUUGUUAGACAAGCAAACAACAAAAAACCCACAAAGGACACAAACCAACCAAACACCAGUGAUCUCAAACACAAGCUGACUUUAAGGCCGACGCCAACAGGAAGCAAACUCAGAUCCUGACAUGCUCAAACAGAUUUAUACAAAAGGCAGAGACACAAGACGGCAGAAAGAUUUUCACUUAGAUUAACUUGUAAAAUAAAAAGUCUAAUCUGGAGUUGCUGAACUAAAGCAACAUUUCAUGUUUUUCUCUGGUUUUCUUUGUUUUGUUCGUUUGUUCACUUUUUUCCAGGAAUCCAAUUCUGGUCUUUAUUUGAUCCAAAAAAUGUUUGUGCUUGAAUAUUGAGGUGAAAUUAAACAGCUAGUUAUAUAAAACCAGCACGAAACAAAAAGUUAAAGAAAGAAAUGUUCACAAAACAAAUGUAGAGAUUAAAGAGAGCCUCAUUUUGAGUGUAUGGAUUUAUCCAUGAAUCACUCGUUGAGUAAACUGACAUGCUGCUCAGUUUUUUUUUUUUUAAACUCAAGCAUGUCAAUUAUAUUAAAUCAAAGUAAAAAUUCAACAGUCUCAAGGUUGAAGAAGUUUGGCUGUACCAAAAAUAAACCUGCAAAUGCUUUCUGAUGUUUGUUGUGGUUUCCAUAUUCAGCAGUUUAUGAAGAAUCAGUCAAAGGUUGGAAAAUCAAAGAAGUAUUUAAAAGUGUCUCUGUUACAUUAAAGAAAAAAAAAAAAGAGGUUGUCUAGUCUCCAGUGACUUUGACUUAAUUUCAGGCAGCAACAAGCAGCUCAUGCAAAUAAUUCAACAACAAUCAGGCGCCAUUAUUUUAAAUAUGUGUCCCCUUUUUCUGAACGUCGAGGGAUCAAAACCAGUUUUUAUAUUCUGACAGCCCCACAGUGCAUCCACAGUUGGUAGGACAAGGCAGAAAAAGCUUUGCCUGUAACACAGCAGGAAAUGAAUUGUGCUCAUGAGUCAUCAUCUUACAGAGAAACACAGGAGACACCAACCAGCUUAAAGGGGCAGUUCAAACAAACUCACAGGUUCUUCCUCCGGCCUGCACUGAUAUCCAUCCACCUUUAUCAGUUUGGUCUCAGACAUGCCUACAGCUGCUUAUUACUGCAAAGUAACAGGCUGAUAAAACACGAGCAUGUCAAUGACUGUAACCACAGACCUGAUGGAUGAUCUGCAUCACAAAAAGGCUCAAAAAACAGUGUGAACACAGAGAAAUGAUCCAAAUUAGCUGAGCUGUAGACAGACAACGGUCAGCUACAGCUUCCCAAGGUGGACAAUUCGAAUUUCAAGCCACAAUCAAAUCUAAACAGACAUAAAGGAAAAGUGAACCCACUGUACAGUUCUUAUGAAGGAUGAAAACAGCCACAGAGGGCAGAACCAUUUCUGCAGCAGGCUGCUAACAUGUUUAUUUCUGCUAUGAUGCUGUGGACCGAAAGGAAACUGGCCAUGUGACUAAAACAUGGCUGGUGGAUAAAGAGCACCGCAGGCCACAGUAAAAUGUGCACAUUGUGGAUUUGAACCACCCGUUAAAUUCAGCAUUGUGUGAUGAAAUCCAUCUGAAGGGUUUCCCUCUGAAAGCAGCCGUUCUCACAUUUUUUCUAAAGUCCUGUUUUUGACACUGAACUUUUCAGCUGAAUGAAUCAAAAUAUACACAUGCAGCCGAGUGUUGCUCAUAUAUACAGACGUGACCGUGUAUGAAGGAACUCUGAACCAUCUACAGCGUUUUCUAAUUGGUUCUGCCAUUAUUUCACAGCCCUGAGGAGUUUUUAUGACCUGAGAAGCUCAUUUUCAUCCGGACACACACACAAACCGUC